AUGAAAUUGACAACCAAAUUCUAUGGGCCUUACAGAAUACUGGAGAAGAUUGGCCAUGUCGCUUACAAACUCCAACUACCAGCUCACAUUGGAAUUAACCUGGUGUUUCAUGUCAGCCAGCUAAAAAAACACAUGGGCACACAUGCCGUUCCAAGCAAAGAUCUACCUCUACUGGACAACAAUGGCAGAAUCAAAAUAGAACCACUAGCUGUACUCGAGACUCGCUCACUACCCAGGAAUGGAGUGCUUGUCACUCAGUGGCUCAUCGGCUGGGAGAACAUGGAACCGGAAGAGGCAACCUGGGAGGACGCCAAUUUCAUCAAACAAGUUUUCCCAGAAUUCUUCGCCGGCACGCUCAAAAGCUGGUUCCCAGAGAAGUAUACUUGA
rnacentral:rRNA from 1 species